CCCACAUCCUUCACCCCCAGGCCAGAUGCCCCCUCCUCCCAGAAGGCCACCGUGACUUCUUGCCCCACCACAGCCUCAAAGUCUGAGGGUCCCACACUCUAGGAAAGUGACUGCUGUGUCCUGCGGGUCUUGCUCACCCAAGAGUCCCUCCCAGGGUCAGGACCCCCUCCCUCUGCCUUCUCCCAUCCCCCAACGGGGGCCAGCGCAGGGCUGGGCAGCUGGGCAGCCCCUGCUGGGUCACAGCGGCCAAGAUGGAGCUGGUGGGGGAGCUCCUGGCCUCCUAUACACGGGGCCAUCCCGACCCGGACCCCUGGGUUCACGGGUGCCACCAGGAGGGGCCCGUUUCAAGUGAGACGUAAACGGUCUGCUCCGGUGAAAUCAAGCCUGUGCCUGGAAGCGUGGAGCCCACAGAUUGCCUGGGCUGUUUGAAUUUUUAUGAGGAACUAAAUCUGGACUAAACCAUCACCAUGACAGAGUCGGGGCCCCGUUGGGAUGUCCCCCCACCACAUGGGCCUCAGGGCAGGUGGGGUUGCCUCUGCCCACCCCCCAUGGGCCCACCCCGCCCGAGAGCACACCUGACACCCAGAGAAGCCAAGGCACCACGGGCUGCGCUUCCCGAGGUCACAGGCCCUAGGUGAGUGUAGACGGAGAGCCUGGUGUGAUCCCGUCACACGGAGCUGAUGCGGGAGGGAAGCAGCAGACUGGCUCAGGUGGCUGAAGCUUCGCCACCAAGGCCACCGCCCUCAGCCUGACCUCCCAUCCAGUCUGCUGCGAGGUCCAUGCUAUGCUCUGAGCACCCCAUUCUCCAGAAGAGAAAACCGAGGCCCAGGAAGCACAGGGGACAAACCCAGGGUCACCCAGAGAGACCCAGCAGAGCCGGGACCGUGGCUCUGGGCUCCUUAGGACCACGUGGAGAGGACGGCAAGGUUACCGCGGAGAGCCCCGGGCACCCCCAGGCAUGGCAAUUCCCAGCAGAUGGGCCACGGGGCAUCCGGCCAGAGAGUAGCCCAAGAGGAGCUCCACAGCUGACCCCGCAGGGACAUGAAAACGGAGAAAAUGUUUGCUUUGGCAGGUCCUGGUCCAGGCAAGAGAGUGGGGAGGGGGCCCGGGUCCCGGCACCGGCACCAGCAGAUGGUGGGGGGCGGGGGGCCGCGCGUGGGCGGAGAGAGCAACACAGCCGGGCUGCGAUGUCCUGGCGCGUCCCCAGCCCCAGCGCCGGCACCUGCCGCCGAGCCGGCAGCCAGGAAGCCAGGCGCCCGCACCAGACGAGGACACAGCG
rnacentral:lncRNA from 12 species